AUACAUUCCGGAACCCAUUUUCUUUCGGAAUCAUAAACGGUUUUUACUUUUUUCAUUUUAUCUGGUUUAUGGUUCACAUUUUUGUAGAUUCCCUACAGAUUUUUUAAUGAAAAUCAUUUUUGGCAUGAACAAAAAAAUUUAAUUUUUUUUGUGAAAUGAUCCACACAGUUUUAAAUGAAAACGGAAUAGUUUGUCCCAAAAAACUCACUAAAAUAAAGAUUCGAA
ensembl:ncRNA F53F4.21 ncRNA